rfam:Agromyces sp. Root1464 contig_2, whole genome shotgun sequence.
UGGGUCGGCAAGACGGUCGCGUCGCACGGUUUCGGUCGUGCGCCGAGGAACGUCCGGGCUCCACAGGGCAGGACGGUGGGUAACUCCCACCCGGGGCAACCCGCGAGACAGUGCCACAGAAAGCAGACCGCCCGGUGCGCAAGCGCCGGGUAAGGGUGAAACGGUGGGGUAAGAGCCCACCAGCGACCGCGGUGACGCGGUCGGCUCGGUAAACCUCGUCCGGAGCAAGGUCAGACAGGGAACGAUGGGGCUGCCCGUCCCGUUCCCGGGUGGACCGCUGGAGGGCUGCGGCAACGUAGUCCCGAGAGAGAUGGCCGUCCAGCCGGUGUCGCGAAAGCGCCCGGUGAACAGAACCCGGCGUAUCAGCCGGCCCAUUCG